rnacentral:rRNA from 1 species
CUACGUGCCAGCAGCCGCGGUAAUACGGAGGGUGCGAGCGUUAAUCGGAAUAACUGGGCGUAAAGGGCACGCAGGCGGUGACUUAAGUGAGGUGUGAAAGCCCCGGGCUUAACCUGGGAAUUGCAUUUCAUACUGGGUCGCUAGAGUACUUUAGGGAGGGGUAGAAUUCCACGUGUAGCGGUGAAAUGCGUAGAGAUGUGGAGGAAUACCGAAGGCGAAGGCAGCCCUUUGGGAAUGUACUGACGCUCAUGUGCGAAAGCGUGGGGAGCAAACAGGAUUAGAUACCCUGGUAGUCCACGCUGUAAACGAUGUCGAUUUGGGGGUUGAGCUUUGAGCUUGGCGCCCGUAGCUAACGUGAUAAAUCGACCGCCUGGGGAGUACGGCCGCAAGGUUAAAACUCAAAUGAAUUGACGGGGGCCCGCACAAGCGGUGGAGCAUGUGGUUUAAUUCGAUGCAACGCGAAGAACCUUACCUACUCUUGAC